AUUGAACGCUGGCGGCAGGCCUAACACAUGCAAGUCGAGCGAGCGGCGGACGGGUGAGUAAUGUCUGGGACACUGCCUGAUGGAGGGGGAUAACUACUGGAAACGGUAGCUACUACCGCAUACCAUCAGAUGUGCCCAGAUGGGAUUAGCUAGUCGGUGGGGUAAUGGCUCCCCUAGGCGACGAUCCCUAGCUGGUCUGAGAGGAUGACCAGCCACACUGGAACGGAGACAAGGUCCAGAGUCCGACGGGAGGCAGCAGUGGGGAAUAUUGCACAAUGGGCGCAAGCCUGAGGCAGCCAUGCCGCGUGUGUGAAGAAGGCCGUCGGGUUGUAAAGCACUUUCAGCGGGGAGGCGUUACCCGCAGAAGAAGCACCGGCUAACUCCGUGCCAGCAGCCGCGGUAAUAC
rnacentral:rRNA from 1 species